UCUUCCGCACUUCACCUCUCACUGCUCACUAGCAGAGCCGGUCGGCAAGGCAGGACGUCGAAACCCCUGAGCAAGGCUGACUAUUCUAAUCCUUCUCCGAGCUUAACUUUUGCCUUCUGAUUUCUAAACUUGUGUUGUGUGGCUUCUCUUUGAAGUCUAAACGACUGGCGAUGGGCCCUUCUACUCUCUCUUAAGUGUCAAACAUUGAUGGACUCCAGAAGAAUUCGGAUUUCAGAUCGAUUAUCGAAGAAGCUUAAAUAUUUAUGUGCUUUUCAUCUUUUUUUUUUUCUUUUCAGUGAUGUAGGAGUCGAUGAAGUCAUAGCAGGCAUAUUUAUAUUGUAAUGGCUUAAGCUAAACAUUCUUGAUUUCCUUCACCUCAUGCAUUGUUUUGAAAAUCACAUAAAAUUGGACUGAAAAUUUUUCUUGUUUUGAUCUUUUGCUAGAGAUUUUGAAGAGGUUUUUUGGAAUCAUAAAUAACAAAAGACUCCGGACUAUGUCCCAUAAUUCAUGAUUGUUUAUAAACAUACAAUGUGAUUCAAUAUUUACCUUCUUAAUUUGUUGGGCUAUACACAGCCUUGUUUGAUUAAGAUUUGUAAAGAUGGAUCUGCUACUGAAGUCAAUAGUUACUUAGAGAAUCAAAUGAUGCCAUUAUCUCAUUGUUUAGUGGUUGUCUAACAACCCAAAGUGAGUAGUCUGAUUAUUGUGGUUGCAAGCAUUAUUCAUAGGCUAUUAAGCUGUCAAAUUAUUUGUGAAUGCACCAUCUUUCAAAAUUUUUGUUUGUAUUAAGAGAAAAUUAACUUGAAUUGACAAUGACAUGUAUGUCUAUUUAUUGGUUAACAGAUGAAUGAAAGUAAUCCAAAUGCAAAUCCAAUUGAGGUUGAUGAUGAUAGUGGUAGUGACAAUAGCAUUGAAGAGACAAUGGAAAUGAAUCAAUCUCAAUGUCCUGACCCUGCUUUCAAAGGGAACAAAAAAGAGGAAGCUAACUUCUGAAGUUUGGGAUUACUUUACCAUCUUGGCUCCAAAACCGACUGAGGAAUUGAAGUGCAAAUGCAAAAAAUAGAUGACAGAUUUGAGGUUGGAGGAUAUAAUUCAAGACAUCAUGUCUUUAAAGAUAUUAAAAGAUGAUGCACAAUUUGUUGGAAAUUUAAACUCUAAUGUGGUCAACCUCUAAGUCAUUGAGCUGGUAGCUUAAAAAGGUGCUUGCAUCCCUUGAUUUAGUGAAGGUGGAAGUUGGAAGAGGAAUAUCAAUUUGACCGCUUGAGCUUGGAACCUUGGACCAGUGAUUCUAUUUUAGUUUCAUGUCUAUUUUGUUGCUAUUUAGUGUUUAUGGCUUGUAGCAAUUGGGAUUCAAUGAUGAAGUGAUGAUAUUGCGACUUGCUAUUAUCUUAUGUCUUUUUAGUAUUUAUUAUAGUUUGUAGCCAUUUGGAUUUGAUGAUGAUAUUAGGAGUUGGGACUUGAGCUUAUCAGCAUAUGCUAUGUCUUUU